rnacentral:rRNA from 1 species
CCAAUAGCGUAUAUUAAAGUUGUUGCAGUUAAAAAGCUCGUAGUUGAAUUUCGGGAUCAGUACGUCGGUCGUGCCUUAGGUAUGCACUGGUGUCACUGGUUCCUCCCUUCUGGCGAACCGUCAUGCCAUUCACUUGGUGUGGCGAGAAAUCAGGACUGUUACUUUGAAAAAAUUAGAGUGUUUAAAGCAGGCUCACGCUUGAAUACAUUAGCAUGGAAUAAUGAAAUAGGACGUUGAUCUUAUUUUGUUGGUUUCUAGGAUUGACGUAAUGAUUAAUAGGGAUAGUUGGGGGCAUUAGUAUUCAAUUGUCAGAGGUGAAAUUCUUGGAUUUAUUGAAGACUAACUACUGCGAAAGCAUUUGCCAAGGAUGUUUUCAUUAAUCAAGAACGAAAGUUAGGGGAUCGAAGACGAUCAGAUACCGUCGUAGUCUUAACCAUAAACUAUGCCGACUAGGGAUCGGAUGAUGUUAAUUUUUUAAUGACUCAUUCGGCGCCUUACG